rnacentral:rRNA from 1 species
UACGUAGGGGGCAAGCGUUGUCCGGAUUUAUUGGGCGUAAAGAGCGUGUAGGCGGCCUGGAAGGUCCGUUGUGAAAACUCGAGGCUCAACCUCGAGACGCCGAUGGAAACCACCGGGCUAGAGUCCGGAAGAGGAGAGUGGAAUUCCUGGUGUAGCGGUGAAAUGCGCAGAUAUCAGGAAGAACACCCGUGGCUAAGGCGGCUCUCUAGUACGGUACUGACGCUGAGACGCGAAAGCGUGGGGAGCGAACAGG